UACGGGGGGGGCAAGCGUUGUUCGGAAUUACUGGGCGUAAAGGGCUCGUAGGCGGCCAAUAAGUCAGACGUGAAAUCCCUCGGCUUAACCGGGGAACUGCGUCUGAUACUGGAUGGCUUGAAGUCGGGAGAGGGAUGCGGAAUUCCAGGUGUAGCGGUGAAAUGCGUAGAUAUCUGGAGGAACACCGGUGGCGAAGGCGGCAUCCUGGA
rnacentral:rRNA from 1 species